UUCCAUUUAAUUGUAAAACACGUUUAUUCCUCAUUCCCAAUUCUUUAGAAGCCCUAGCAGUCCCGGUGAACCCAUCUCUUCUCCUCCAACAAGCCGAUUUCUCUCAAAAUCAAGAAACUAUCUCUAAAUCGAAAUCAAAAAAAGGAAUAACCUUUAAACUGUGACCUUGUUUCUUCUCCUAACUAUUUUGAUCGAUUUCUGGCAAGCAAAGAAGGAACCGAGAUCACUCGAAAUCGCCUAUGCAUUUAUUUUCUUCUACGGCUUUUUUUAAUUGAAGAUGAAAGAGUCAAGGAGAGGAUAAAUGCCUGCAGGAAAAGAAUUGCACAAAUUAAUACUAAGUGAUCUAUUUUAUCACAUGCAAGGAGAUGCAGUCUGUAGAAGAAUCAACAGUUAAAGCUUCUUACUGCUCAUCAAGAAAUGAAAUUUGAUCGUAGAUAGGAAAUUGAUGGAAAAGUGAAUAGGAUGCUGUGGUUUUUUGAUUAUGUAGUUGGUAGGUUGUAGGAAUGUUUUUGGUGUUCUAUCUAAGCUCAAUGGUUGUAAUAUAGGUGUAUUAGUAUUGAUGGUUGUGAAAUCAUCAAAGGAAACCUGAUGUAUUUUACAAUUUCAAAUGAAAUGGGUUCUUUUGUGUUCA